GGGUCCUUAACUCAGUUGGUAGAGUGCCUGCUUUGCAAGCAGGAUGUCGGGAGUUCGAUUCUCCCAGGAUCCACCA
rnacentral:tRNA from 6 species